AGUUAGUCUAAUGGUUUAGAACUAGGCAUGCUAUGGACGAGGUCUGGGUUCGAUUCCCGUCGG
rnacentral:tRNA from 1 species